GCGCGCGCCACUCGCAGUCGUAGGCAACAGAACUCGGCGAGGGGGGCUGUUGCAUGGAAAUGAGAUGAAAAUUCUUACUGUCUUCAGAGUUUCUCAAGGAACUAUUCGUUCGUUUCAAUCUCUGGCUUCUGCUGGUUUCUAUUCCUUCUCUCCGAUUCAAUCUCGACUAGAACGUUCUUCGUUUGGGAUUGCAUUUGACAUUGAUGGAGUUGUUCUAAGGGGCCACCGUCCUAUUGGAGGAUCUAGCAAAGCUUUGAAGAGAUUGUAUGCGGAUUCUACGUCCUCUGGUACUUUGAAAGUUCCUUUUCUUUUCUUGACCAAUGGAGGCGGUACUCCUGAAUCCAGACGUGCCAUUGAAUUGAGUGAACUUUUAGGAGUGAAUGUCUUGCCUUCUCAGGUCGUACAGGGUCACUCAAGUUUUAGAAGUUUGUUGAAUAGUUUUGAGAACGAACUUAUUAUUGCGACCGGGAAAGGGCAGCCAGCUCUUGUUAUGUCUGAGUAUGGUUUCAAAAAAGUUUUCUCCCUUGAUGAAUACGCUUCCUUCUUUGAGAAUAUUGAUCCUGUAUCCCAAUACAAGAACUGGACAUCCCAACAAGCUUUUGAUUUGACCUGCAACCCCGAGAAGUUGAUGAGAAAGCAGAGUGUGUUAUCAGAAAGAGUGAAGGCAGCUUUUGUUGUUAGUGAUCCUGUUGAUUGGGGCAGGGAUAUCCAAGUUCUAUGUGAUGUUUUAAGAUCUGGAGGCCUUCCAGGACAGGAGAAUGGGAAUCAAGUGCCUUUAUAUUUUGCUGCAGAUGAUUUUGAAUAUCAGGCUGCAUUUCCUUUUAAGCGGCUGGGGAUAGGCGCCUUUAAAAUUGCACUAGAAAGUAUAUUUAAUAGGAUUCACCAUAGACCACUCGAGUAUGUAUCUUACGGGAAACCAAAUCCUCUUGUGUUUAAGAAUGUUGAAACUGUGUUGAGACAGAUUCUCUCAUCUCACUGUGAUGAUCAUUUUGUGAACAAAGAAGAUAUUGAGUUUAAUAGUUUUAAAACACUUUAUAUGAUUGGUGACAAUCCCGUGGUAGACAUCAAAGGUGCACGAGAGGCAGGACGACCUUGGUUUUCUAUUUUAACAAGGACAGGAGUUUUCAGGGGUGAAGAAAACCAGGACGAGUUUCCAGCUGAUCUUGUCGUUAAUACCGUUGAAGAAGCAGUGGAGUAUAUUUUGGAGUCCGAAUGCAUUUCUUAAUGCCUUUUGCUCUACCUAGCCAUGAUCUCUCACCUUUCAUCCUAAUUCGUUCUGUUGGUAUAUGCAAUAUCCGAAUUGCAGAAUGACAUACAAAUUUAACAAGUGCAAAGAAGUCGAGCAAUGAUCAAAGACCCUUCUAAUCUCUAUAGUGGAAUUCAUCCUAAAGUGCUACUAAGAAGGGAUGUGGUCUGCUAAUUUGGUAUAUAUUACUCAUAAUUUCUUUUA